AGGAACCACUUAAUCAUAUUUGGUUUCACACCAGAGCAAAGUACAAGACGGACUCGUUGUGUUUUGCAAAACAUCGAACAGCCUGACUGGUAGAAUGAUGCGGUACUGGGGUGAGAUCCCUGUGUCGGCGGUGCCAUCCAGUCGGAGUUCCUUCGACUUGCUGCAGAGGGAGUUUCGCUCAGUAGAGGUGCAGGAUCCACCACUGCACCAGCCCUCUGCCCAUCGGCCACGCCCCACCACCAUGUUCGACGUGCCCUCUGAGCCCUGCAGCCUGACCAUCCACACUGUGCAGCUUAACCAGCACGUGCGCCGGCUCAGACGACUGCUCGCCACUGCACAGGGGCAACCCCAGACUGAGGGGGGUGCAAGGCUGGAGGAGAACGAGACCUUGCCUGCUAGGCCCCCCACACCAGCCAUCCCCGACGAUCUGCUACCCCUCGACAGCAAGGCACCCCACCUCCCCUUCCAGCUCCUACACAGCGACCCGGAGAGUGAUUUCUACAAAGGAAAAGGGGAGCCUGUGACGGAGCUGAGCUGGCCCUCUUGUCGGCAGCUUCUAUAUCAGUCAGUGGCCACAGUGCUUGCCCAUGCAGGCUUUGAGUCGGCGCAGGAGAGCGUGCUGGAGAUGCUGACAGAUGUGGCUCAUGAGCACUACCUGCGGCUGAGCCGGCUGCUGCGCGUGGCUGUGGACAGAGAGGCCCGCCUGGGCGCUACGCCCUUCCCUGAUGUGGUGGAGCAGGUGUUUCACGAGGCUGGCAUCGGCAGCGUGCUAUCACUGCAUCUCUUCUGGCAGCACCGCAUCAAGGACUACCACAGCUACAUGCUGCAGGUUAGCAAGCAGCUGUCUGAGGAGUACGAGUGGCUGGUGAACCCUGAGAAAGCAGCGGAGGACGCCAAGCCCCUGAAGAUCAAGGAGGAGCCUCUAAGCGACAUCACCUUCCCGAUCAACGAGGAGCUGGAGGCAGACCUGGCCUCAGGGGACCAGUCCCUGCCAAUUGGGGUGCUGGGGGCACCCAGCGAGAGGUUAUCAACCGGGCUUGAGGGAGACUGCUCCCCACAUACAGGAGGUGCGGUGGGCAACGGUUCCCCCUUGUGGAACCUGGCGCAGGUGAAGAUGGAGCCGCAGGAUGUGGAGGAGGGGCAGGUGCACGGGCACGGGCAUGGCGAGCUGGCGGAUAACGUCUUCGAGGAGCCCAUGUCAACCAUUAGCGAGUCUGGCAUCCCGCCCUCCCCCAACGGGGCCGGCUCCGAUGCCAGUUACGGCUCCCACUCCCCCGACAGCCUUAUGGGCACCUCGCCUGUCUUCAACCAGCACCUUAAGAAACGCUUCAAGAAGAUGUGACAUCUCAUCCCACCCCAGCUGUUUAUCUAGACUACUUUACCGGCAACAAUAUGUUAUGGACAGAACUCCUGAGACAACCAGGGUUACACCAGACUUCUAACUUCAAACACCCUGCAGUUCAUUCAAGCUUUUUAUUGCUUUUUGGAGAAGCUUUGGGACAUAGAUGACUGUGUGCAACUGAAUAGCUCUGUAUCUAUAAAAUAUAAACAGCAGCCACACAAGAAAAUAAAGUCAAGUGGAUAGAAUACAGAAGACAAGGGGGAUAUUUCAGCUGGUGUUGGGGACUUAAUUUUACCUACACCAAAACCAGAGCUUACCGGGGAAAAAAAAAAUAUUAAAGUGAUGCUACAGCUUUGCAUUGUUUACAAAUGUGUAUUCUGUUCCAAGCAAGAAGAGGUCUGUAAGAAAGAUGAUGUAUUCUGAAUAAUCUGGCCACUGAUUUCUGUAAAAGGUAAACAUUUUGUCUCCAACGUUUGGGAUAUCAUUUCGUUACAUGACCAGUUGUAGAUUUAUUUGAAUAACUCCCUGUGGCAAAGUGGUUGAUAGUGUGCAGGUGCAGGUGAUUAAAGAACAGACAGACAAUU